AAGUCGUAACAAGGUAACCGUAGGUGAACCUGCGGUUGGAUCAUUAAAAAAUAUUUGGUCUCGUGCCAAAUUGACACCUGUGUGCACCAUUGUCUGUAUUUGGUAGCUCGAGCGCGUUCCGGGAGCUCAACACUCCCAACAGGAAUGCCUACCCUUGCAGGUCUUCGUUCCCCGGAUGUUUUGGCUUUGGCCAAAGAGAUGGGGAACCCGCUUGGGUUGGGCUACCGCCUUUUUUUAUGAUAAACCUUUUGUUUUUGUUUUUUUAGUCUGAACGAAGAGUUGAUCUUUAUUGAUUAAUGAUUUGAAAACAACUUUUGACAACGGAUCUCUUGGCUCUC
rnacentral:misc_RNA from 1 species